rnacentral:lncRNA from 1 species
UUUAAAUGAAUUCAUUCUGUAAAACUGAGAACUACAGAUUUGGUGUCAGUCAAAACAAUUCAAUCUAAACAUUUAGCCACAUCAAUAUUUUGUUAGGUCCAGGUUACCACUCAAAGAAACUGAAUUUAUGUCAAUUGGGAAAUAUGAACAGUGCUGAAGGGAUUAAAUACCUGAUUUAUAUUAAUAACAUGUUUUAUGUGGGGCAGGGAGAGUAGAGCUGUGACUUGAGUAGCAGGCCACCUCCUCAUACUUAAUGUGCUUUCCAAAAUUUAGGGUGAUUUGUUCAAAUUCUACCAACAUUAAGACAAUCAAAUCUCAAGUAUAGUAAACCAGCUAGAAAAUUAUUAUCACACAACUUUCUCUAACUCAGAAACUGCUAAUAACUACUGAGUGCUUUAAUUAUAAAUCUCAUCAAAAAGUUGCAUCAAGGGCUGGGGAUAUAGCUCAGUUGGUAGAGUGCUUGCCUUGCAUGCACAAGGCAAUGGGUUCAUUCCUCAGAACCAAAAAAAAAAAAAAAAAGCUGCAUCAAGGGAUGGGAAUAUAGCUCAGUAAUAGAGCACUUGCUUAGUGUGUGCAAGGCCCUGGGUUCAUUCCUCAGCUUGCAAUAAAUAAAGUGUCCAUUAGCUUUACCUACCUUAAAAAAAAAAAUCAAAACCAUCUGAAAUUUCAUUCCAAAACCUUAUCAUAAAAACUGGUAACAUUAUUGAUAGCCCUAACCAUCUAACCAUCACUAUGGUGAAAUAUUGUAAGACAUAAAUAUUGUAUUCUUUUUUAAAAUUUGUUUUAAAAUGUUUAGAAUCAUAUGUUUUAUGUAUACAGGGAGGGAAGGG